rfam:Hordeum vulgare subsp. vulgare, WGS project CAJW01000000 data, contig: morex_contig_6641
AUAUUACUCCCUCCGUCCCAAAAUUCUUGUCUUUGAUUUGUCUAGAUAUGAAUAGAUACAUUCAUAUCUAGACAAAUCAAAGACAAGAAUUUUGGGACGGAGGGAGUACAAA